rnacentral:rRNA from 1 species
AUGGCCACCUCCCACUUCCUGGCCGCCGCCGCCGCCGCCGCCACAUCUUCCUCCGCCGCCGCCUUCCGCCCCCCUCUCCGCUUCCUCUCCCUGCCGCCUCCUCUAACCCUCAGCCGGCGGCGGCCGUUCCCGGUGAUCUGCGCGGCCGACGCCGACGCUAAAGAAACAACGAAGCCGAAGGUCCCGGAGAAGGCACCGGCGGCGGGGUCCAGCUUCAACCAGCUGCUCGGAAUCAAGGGCGCCAAGCAAGAAGACAACAUAUGGAAGAUCCGUCUUCAACUUACUAAGCCGGUGACAUGGCCUCCGCUUGUCUGGGGUGUGCUUUGUGGAGCAGCUGCCUCUGGAAAUUUCCACUGGACAGUUGAAGAUGUUGCAAAAUCUAUUGUUUGCAUGUUAAUGUCUGGUCCUUGUCUUACAGGAUACACGCAGACAAUUAAUGACUGGUAUGACCGAGACAUCGACGCUAUUAAUGAGCCUUAUCGUCCUAUUCCUUCAGGAGCUAUAUCAGAAAAUGAGGUAAUUACUCAGAUCUGGGUAUUACUGUUAGCAGGUCUUGGGUUGGGUGCUUUGUUAGACAUAUGGGCAGGGCAUGAUUUUCCUAUUAUUUUCUACCUUGCUCUGGGUGGGUCCUUGCUUUCUUACAUAUAUUCAGCACCGCCUCUCAAGCUCAAGCAGAAUGGAUGGAUAGGAAACUUUGCUCUCGGUGCGAGUUACAUUGGCUUGCCCUGGUGGGCUGGCCAGGCGUUAUUUGGAACUCUUACUCCUGACAUUGUUGUCCUAACUACUUUGUACUCCAUAGCUGGGCUAGGGAUCGCUAUCGUAAAUGAUUUUAAGAGUAUCGAGGGGGAUAGAACUCUGGGACUUCAGUCACUCCCUGUUGCCUUCGGUAUGGAAACUGCAAAAUGGAUAUGUGUUGGAGCAAUUGACAUCACUCAAUUAUCUGUUGCAGCGUACCUCCUGAGCACGGGUAAGCUGUAUUAUGCCCUGGCACUAGUUGGAUUGACAAUUCCCCAGGUGAUCUUACAGUUCCAGUACUUCCUGAAGGACCCCGUGAAGUACGACGUCAAAUACCAGGCGAGUGCGCAACCGUUCUUCGUCUUCGGCCUGCUGGUUACUGCCCUGGCGACCAGCCACUGA